rnacentral:rRNA from 1 species
AUACGUAGGUGACAAGCGUUAUCCGGAUUUACUGGGCGUAAAGGGCGUGUAGGCGGUCUUGCAAGUCAGAAGUGAAAUUCCUGAGCUCAACUCGGGCGCUGCUUCUGAAACUGCAGGACUUGAGUGCUGGAGGGGAUAGCGGAAUUCCUAGUGGAGCGGUAAAAUGCGCAGAUAUUAGGAAGAACACCGGUGGCGAAGGCGGCUAUCUGGACAGUAACUGACGCUGAGGCGCGAAAGCGUGGGGAGCAAACAGGAUUAGAUACCCUGGUAGUCCACGCUGUAAACGAUGAAUACCAGGUGUAGGGGGUAUCGACUCCCUCUGUGCCGCAGUUAACACAAUAAGUAUUCCGCCUGGGGAGUACGGCCGCAAGGUUGAAACUCAAAUGAAUUGACGGGG